UUAAGUGAAUACAUAGCUUAAUGAGGGGAACUCAGGGAACUGAAACAUCUAAGUACCUGAAGGAAGAGAAAGAAAUUCGAUUCCGUAAGUAGCGGCGAGCGAACGCGGAUUAGCCCAAACCAAUAAAGUUUUCUUUAUUGGGGUUGCGGACAUAUCAUAACGAAGAGGUAUCGUAAUUGAAGAGGUUUGGAAAGACCCACCACAGAAGGUAAUAGUCCUGUAUGUUAAACGAGAAGACUUUAGAUAUGAUCCAGAGUACCACGGGACACGUGAAACCCUGUGGGAAGCAGGAGGGACCACCCUCCAAGGCUAAAUACUACCUAGUGACCGAUAGCGUAUAGUACCGUGAGGGAAAGGUGAAAAGAACCCCGGGAGGGGAGUGAAAUAGAACCUGAAACCCUGCACUUACAAGCUGUGGAAGCACAUUUCUUGUGUGACCGCGUACUUUUUGUAGAACGGGCCAACGAGUUACG
rnacentral:rRNA from 1 species